rnacentral:sRNA from 1 species
GCCAGGUAUGGUGGCACACACCUGUAAUCCCAGUAGCAUAGGAGGCUGAGGCAGGAGGAUUUCGAGUUAAAAACCAGCCUCAAUAAUACAGAGGCACUAAGUGAGACCCUGUCUCUA